GACGAACGCUGGCGGCGUGCUUAACACAUGCAAGUCGAACGAAAAGACGGGAAGAGCUUGCUCUUUUCAGAAUUGAGUGGCAAACGGGUGAGUAACACGUAAACAACCUGCCUUCAGGAUGGGGACAACAGACGGAAACGACUGCUAAUACCGAAUAAGUUCCAAGAGCCGCAUGGCCCAUGGAAGAAAAGGUGGCCUCUACCUGUAAGCUAUCGCCUGAAGAGGGGUUUGCGUCUGAUUAGCUGGUUGGAGGGGUAACGGCCCACCAAGGCGACGAUCAGUAGCCGGUCUGAGAGGAUGAACGGCCACACUGGAACUGAGACACGGUCCAGACUCCUACGGGAGGCAGCAGUGGGGAAUCUUCCGCAAUGGGCGAAAGCCUGACGGAGCAACGCCGCGUGAGUGAUGACGGCCUUCGGGUUGUAAAACUCUGUGAUCCGGGACGAAAAGGCAGAGUGCGAAGAA
rnacentral:rRNA from 1 species